rnacentral:rRNA from 1 species
UGGGGAAUAUUGCACAAUGGGCGAAAGCCUGAUGCAGCAACGCCGCGUGAGGGACGACGGCCUUCGGGUUGUAAACCUCUUUUAGCAAGGAAGAAGCGAAAGUGACGGUACUUGCAGAAAAAGCGCCGGCUAACUACGUGCCAGCAGCCGCGGUAAUACGUAGGGCGCAAGCGUUAUCCGGAAUUAUUGGGCGUAAAGAGCUCGUAGGCGGUUUGUCGCGUCUGCUGUGAAAACCCGAGGCUCAACCUCGGGCCUGCAGUGGGUACGGGCAGACUAGAGUGCGGUAGGGGAGAUUGGAACUCCUGGUGUAGCGGUGGAAUGCGCAGAUAUCAGGAAGAACACCGAUGGCGAAGGCAGAUCUCUGGGCCGUAACUGACGCUGAGGAGCGAAAGGGUGGGGAGCAAAACAGGCUUAGAUACCCUGGUAGUCCACCCCGUAAACGUUGGGAACUAGUUGUGGGGUCCAUUCCACGGAUUCCGUGACGCAGCUAACGCAUUAAGUUCCCCGCCUGGGGAGUACGGCCGCAAGGCUAAAACUGCAAAGGAAUUGACGGGGUCAUAGCUGUUUCC